UACAGAGGGUGCGAGCGUUAAUCGGAAUACUGGGCGUAAAGCGUGCAGCAGACGGUUGCGUAAGUCAGAUGUGAAAGCCCCGGGCUCAACCUGGGAAUUGCAUUUGAGACUGCGUAGCUAGGGUGCGGAAGAGGGAAGCGGAAUUUCCGGUGUAGCGGUGAAAUGCGUAGAUAUCGGAAGGAACACCAGUGGCGGAAAGCGGCUUCCUGGUCCAGCACCGACGUCAGGCACGAAAGCGUGGGGAGCAAACAGG
rnacentral:rRNA from 1 species